rnacentral:rRNA from 1 species
GAUCAUAGCUCAGGACGAACGCUGGCGGCGUGCUUAACACAUGCAAGUCGAACGAGAAUCUGUGGAAAGAGGAUUCGUCCAAUUGAAGCAGAGGACAGUGGCGGACGGGUGAGUAACGCGUGAGGAACCUGCCUUUCAGAGGGGGACAACAGUUGGAAACGACUGCUAAUACCGCAUGACACAUCGGAGUCGCAUGGCUCUGAUGUCAAAGAUUUAUCGCUGAAAGA